GCUGCUGGGCGGGGCGCGGCGGUGGGAGGGAGACCAUGGCGGCCACGUUUUUCGGUGAGGUGGUGAAGGCGCCGUGCCGAGCUGGGACGGAGGACGAGGAGGAGGACGAGGGGAACACCGAGACGCCCGAGGACAGGGAGGUCCGGCGGAAGCUGGCGCGGAAGAGAGAGGUACGGAUUCUUCGAAGACAAACGAAAACAUCUUUGGACGUUUCCCUGCUGGAAAAAUAUCCUUGCUCCAAGUUUAUAAUUGCUGUUGGAAAUAAUGCUGUAGCAUUUUUGUCAUCGUUUGUUAUGAAUUCAGGAGUCUGGGAAGAAGUCGGUAGUGCUAAACUCUGGAAUGAAUGGUGUAGAACAACAGACACCGAGCAUCUGUCCCCUGCAGAGGCUUUUUGCGUGUUUUAUCAUCUGAAGUCAAAUCCCUCGGUUCUCCUUUGUCAGUGCAGCUGCUACGUUGCUGAAGACCAGCAGUAUCAGUGGCUGGAAAAGGUUUUUGGCUCUUGUCCAAAGAAGAAUAUGCAAGUAACUAUUCUCACAUGUCGACAUGUUACUGACUACAAAACUUCAGAAUCCACCAGCAGCCUUCAUUCUCCUUUCCUGAGAGCCCUAAAAACCCAGGAUUCCAAAGAGCCUCCGUGCUGUCCACUGCUGGAACAGCCGAACAUCGCACACGGUCUCCCCGCAGCAGUUCUGAGUUACUGUCAAGUGUGGAGAAUCCCCGCCGUUCUGUACUUGUGCUACACUGAUGUGAUGAAAUUAGACCUCAUUACAGUGGAAGCUUUUAAGCCUGUGCUUUCUUCCCGAAGCUUGAAAGGUUUGGUUAAGCUUGGAUGUCAGCGUGAAAGAAAGGAGCCAGGAUGAACCCAGCCUAGAAGAAUGGAGCUGCACCAGCGGAGAUGGGGACCCGGAAGGUGACAAGCCCAGUGUGGUUUUGGAUCCUCAUCGCCGUGGGAGCUAGGCUCCGUCCCCUCUCACCUGAAUUCCAUCCUGAACACUUGGCGCUUGACGUCUAGAGCCGAGCAGCACGUGGUACCAUCUACCUGGACCCGGAGCCCUCUGUGUAGACAACACCACCGGAGAAGACCUGCGAGGGCGGGGCGAUGCUCAGUCCAGAUUUUGGAGACUCACGAGUGAGGGC